rnacentral:rRNA from 3 species
AGACCCGAAACCCGGUGAUCUAGCCAUGGGCAGGUUGAAGGUUGGGUAACACUAACUGGAGGACCGAACCGACUAAUGUUGAAAAAUUAGCGGAUGACCUGUGGCUGGGGGUGAAAGGCCAAUCAAACCGGGAGAUAGCUGGUUCUCCCCGAAAGCUAUUUAGGUAGCGCCUCGUGAAUUCAUCUCCGGGGGUAGAGCACUGUUUCGGCUAGGGGGCCAUCCCGGCUUACCAACCCGAUGCAAACUGCGAAUACCGGAGAAUGUUAUCACGGGAGACACACGGCGGGUGCUAACGUCCGUCGUGAAGAGGGAAACAACCCAGACCGCCAGCUAAGGUCCCAAAGUCAUGGUUAAGUGGGAAACGAUGUGGGAAGGCCCAGACAGCCAGGAUGUUGGCUUAGAAGCAGCCAUCAUUUAAAGAAAGCGUAAUAGCUCACUGGUCGAGUCGGCCUGCGCGGAAGAUGUAACGGGGCUAAACCAUGCACCGAAGCUGCGGCAGCGAACGUAUCACUUAAAGCGAUUCAGCGGGUUACGAUUGACGGAGCGAAGCGACGUCAAAGCGUAUACAAAGU